AUWUGGUUAAGUUAGAAAGGGCGCACGGUGGAUGCCUUGGCACUAGGAGCCGAUGAAGGACGGGACUAACACCGAUAUGCUUCGGGGAGCUGUAAGUAAGCUUUGAUCCGGAGAUUUCCGAAUGGGGAAACCCGCUGCACGUAAUGGUGCAGUAUCCAUACUUGAAUACAUAGAGUAUGGAAGGCAGACCCGGGGAACUGAAACAUCUAAGUACCCGGAGGAAGAGAAAGCAAACGCGAUUCCCUGAGUAGCGGCG
rnacentral:rRNA from 1 species